rnacentral:rRNA from 1 species
UACAGAGGUCUCAAGCGUUGUUCGGAUUCAUUGGGCGUAAAGGGUGCGUAGGCGGCGCGGUAAGUCGGGUGUGAAAUCUCGGAGCUUAACUCCGAAACUGCAUUCGAUACUGCCGUGCUUGAGGACUGGAGAGGAGACUGGAAUUUACGGUGUAGCGGUGAAAUGCGUAGAUAUCGUUUGGAACGCCGAUGGUGAAAACAGGUCGCUGGGGACAUGCUGACGCUGAGACACGAAAGCCAGGGGAGCGAACGGG